rnacentral:rRNA from 1 species
CAGCCGCCGCGGUAAUACCGGCGGCCCGAGUGGCGGUCACUAUUAUUGGGCUUAAAACGUCCGUAGCCGGGUUGGGAAGUCCUCCGGGAAAUCUGGCCGCUUAACGGUCAGAAUGCCGGAGGAUACUCCCAGCCUAGGGGGCGGGAGAGGCCGAGGGUAUUCCCGGAGUAGGGGUGAAAUCCUAUAAUCCCGGGAGGACCACCGGUGGCGAAGGCGCUCGGCUGGAACGCGUCCGACGGUGAGGGACGAAGGCCAGGGGAGCAAACCGGAUUAGAUACCCGGGUAGUCCUGGCUGUAAACGAUGCGGACUUUGUGUCGGACAAGCUAUGAGCUUGUCCGGUGCCGGAGGGAAACCGUUAAGUCCGCCGCCUGGGGAGUACGGCCGCAAGGCUGAAACUUAAAGGAAUUGGCGGG